GCUGAUCAAGGAUAGGAAUGUCUCAAUGAGGAAUUUAUCAACAUUGGAUCAAGGUGUUCAUUCUUUCUAGUUUGGGAGGUUCCGAUAAUGUUUCUGAAACUAUUAAAUAUUUUGACGAAUCGUCGCCUGAUAGUGCUUAUCGACCUGUUUGUUCUUGCAACAAUAAUCAGGCUCAGCUUCAGACGACGACAAUGGAGACAAUAACCAUCUGGACUUAGCUUGGACUUGAACAAUUUUUCUUUUUUCUCUUAUGAUCUUGGAAAUCAUUUGAUCGUUGUUUUCUUCUUGAUUCUUUCGAAAACAGAUGUUAAUGGAUUUAUAUUGUUCUUUUAAAUGUUAAAGAAGCGAAAGCAAACAUAACAAAAGCAACAAAAAAAAUGAAAUCCUUGUGUUUGAUCCAAGCAAUGACUAUGAAUUAGUCAAUUUAGUUUGAGUGACAAUAGGAAAGAAAUAUUAAUGAUGGGCAUUAUACCAUUUUAGUUUAUUUGUGGUUGUCGCGUGUCCUUCCGGCCUCGUCCAUAUUUUAUGUUGUG
rnacentral:lncRNA from 1 species